ACGCCCUGCAUUGGCUGCAAGACUUGCGCUGAGAUUUCGUCGUCCUGUCGAAAUUGUGAAGUUACUUGUAUUGUAAGCCAAGGUUCUCCUGAAUUACAGAAAGAUGUCAUGGUAGAGGUUUGUGCCCAUUGAACAGUGGAAGGUCUUUUCUGUACCACCAGUGUCCAUCAUUUACUGUGACACUGGUGUGAUCCCAAUUUAAAGACCCGUGAACAAGAAGAGAAUUAAGCUGGAAGGAACAUUAAAUUUUGGUGAUGCUGAUCUCUUUUGAUGGAGUCCAUUAAUUGAUAUGAACUGGAUUUUAAUUCAGGACCAAAAGUGGGGUUCGGAAUUCUUCAGUAGAAUUUACAUGGAAGAAUCUUUUUAGGUGAUUGAGUAAUGAAGACUAUGGGCAUUUUGUGUUGUUGCUCCCUGAAACCAAUCUGCUUUUUCUGACCAUCGGGCUCCAAGCUAUACCAUUAACGGAGAAUAGAUUUAGACACUUCAGGAGACAAAUAAAAUUAAAAUAUCCUGUGAAACUGAUGGAAUUAAGAAAUUCUACAAGGAUGAAGUGAAGAAUUCAGUAGAAAUUUCUGAAGGGUCAAGAGGUCAACUGACGGCUUGUCACAUGGAGCAUAUAACCUGGUAUGUAUGACAGACAGUAAGUCAUGAUUUGGAAUGAUCUCAUCUCAAUGUAAAUAUGAUAAUAUAUUUUAAUGUUAAAAUGUUCUCUUGGAUAAAGUUGGUUGGGACAUGAUGUAAUCUUGUGAGAAUUCCUUCAGACUUCACAGGAUUUAAUCAUGUGACCAACAAGUUUAUAUCCCAUAGAACUAUUUAACAUUUUUAUUCUUUCUUAAAUAAUAAGAAAUAAACAAUAUUAUAUACAUGCAAUAUAAUUAUACACAAUAUACAUAACAGUAUGUUUACACACACACACAAUACAUGUACAUAUAAAAUAUACCUGUAAUUUGUGCACAAUCCACAGAAAUGUUCCUCUAUAGUAUUUAUACAGAGCCUGUUUAAGUGUUGUAUUCACACAUACAUAUAGUUUGUAUUUCAUCUAUCAAUAUGUAAACAAUUCAUAUCAAUGUAACACCCACAGUUUGUUUAUAUAUGUAGAUAUACACACAGUUUGUUUAUAUAUGUAGGUAUACACACAGUUUGUUUAUAAAUGUAGGUAUACACUCAGUUUGUUUAUAUAUGUAGAUAUACACACAGUUUGUUUAUAUAUGUAGAUAUACACACAGUUUGUUUAUAUAUGUAGAUAUACACACAGUUUGUUUAUGUAUGUAGAUAUACACACAGUUUGUUUAUAUAUGUAGAUAUACACACAGUUUGUUUAUAAAUGUAGAUAUACACACAGUUUGUUUAUAUAUGUAGAUAUACACACAGUUUGUUUAUAUAUGUAGAUAUACACACAGACUGUUUAUAUAUGUAG